CCAGGGGCGGGGGUGGGAUCUGAGCAAUCACUCGCCCUCCCCCUUCCCAGGGGCGGGGAGGGGGUGAUUUAGGGAGGACUCCACGGGGCCCAAAGGUUCGCACCGCCCCGCCGCGGCCCAGCCUGCAGAAGCCCCCCGCUGCCGCGGCGCCCCCGCUCCCCGCCCCGCGAGGCGCGCGCAGCUGCGCCCGGGCCUGUCCUCGCUUCACCCCCACUCUGCCCCUUCGGUAUUUCUCAAUGACCGGCGCUCCGAGGACACUUCCGACGCGGAGGGAGGGGGUGUCAUUAGCGCUCGGUUAUCAGUUCCUUCCGGUCUCCCCGAGCUCAACCCUGCGCGCGGCCGGGCCGCGCCUCGGGCGAUCUGGUGCCUUUAUUAUGAUGUUUAAGUAAGCAGUCGUGUGUGCCAAGUGAGUUUGUAGCCCAGCUGUCUCCCCCAAGCCCCGCUGGCAGGAAUGGAAACCCAAACUCUCUCGUAAUGCAGGGGAUGAUGCAAACUUAGAAACUGACCCGGCGCCCGGGAAUGAGGCCCCCCCGCCCCGGGCGUGCGGCGGCCCAGUAGGGGCAUGAAUGGCUGGAGCCCGAUUGCAUAAUCCGCGCGGUAUAAAUAGCCGGCGGGCGGGCCGCUGACGCGCUCGGUUGUGCCGUUAUCGUGCAAUGCUUCAUCCCCGGUGCCGUUCACUCCCAGGUCGUUUUCCCUUUCAGCUGCAAUGCCGGGAUUUUAAAUAGCAGAGAUGAAAGGCCCCUGCCCCCGCCUCCCUCCUCCCCUGAGUUCAUGUAUUAUGAAUGAAACGGCAGCCUCGCUGCUUCCUGAGGUGCUCCACUUCAGGUACCUAACUGAUCCAGGAGAUAAUGGAAUUCGGAGGCUUGAAUGGAGGAUGGUGAUCCAUGUGGUCAUAGAGAAAAGGCGGUGUAACAUCUUGGGAGUUGGAGUGCAGUGGUGCUGUGUCUGGAGUUUGUUCCUGCCGUUGGGUUUGUGGUCUUGCUGACUUCAAGAAUGAAGCCACGGACCUUCACGCCAUCAUAAUGUGAAGAAGCCGAAGCAGCCUGUGAAGAGGCGCUAGUGGAAAGGAACUCAGGUGCCCCUGCCCUCAGUCCCAGCUGAACUCUCAGCUGACAGCCAUCACCAACUUGCCAGCCACAGGAGUGAGCCAACUUGAGAGUGGAUCUUUCAGUCCCAGUGGAGCCAUCUCAGCUGACAUACCAUGAUACACACACAGGCACAUUGGAAACGCAGUAGAAAAUGGCUGCCAAUUUAAAACCAGAAGUUAAGAAGAGCAAACUCGAAUGUACAGCAAGAGAGCUUCAGGCUGGACUGGCUUCCAGCAGAAGUGGGACUGGAAACCUCGGAUUCUAUUGUCUCUUCUCUGUGAAGUGGGAAAACAUAGUGAACCCAGAGCACAUGGCUUUCCACCAGGACUGGUUGGUUACUGCUGCCCUAUUCUUUGAUGGAGAUAAACAAACAAACAAACAAACAAACAAACCUGAUUGCAAUGGUGCUUUGGAACCCCUAGAUCCUGAAGUCCUUUGGGAGAGAUCUGAGAGUGGGAGCAGGGCCUUCUGCAGCCAAGUUAGCCUCCCAGGCUGGCUAAUAGCUGUAAUGUAUAUUAGUUCUCUUAUCUCCUGCACUGUUCCCAUCAUCUUCCAUGUAGAAAAUGAAACAUGGCUUCUUAUAAGUCAAUGGCAACCAGAUGCUUGAGAAUAAAGCAAGCAAGGGAACAGAGAAGGAAAUCAGGGAGAACCUUGGCAUUUACCCAGAGAAACAUCCUAAUGUGUACCGUGGCAGGGCGUGGUAAAGAACCUAGAAACAUGACAGUCAGUAGAAGGUGUGUUGGCCCCCGGAAAGCCAAGUAUUUGUCUGAUGAAGCAUGGAGUGGAUUCUGGCUUAUAUCUUUCAUCACUUGGCUGGGUCCUUCGUCAGAUGAAAAGGUAGCAGCUGAGAGCAUUAGCAGAAACAAUUGACGGGCUAAGCUCUCUGUGAGAGCAGCAGACUCAAUCGAGGAGGGCUGGGAGCCCAGGCGUGGGCUGUCAUGAGAAGUCCACUUGCAGCAGUGGCAGUGAUCCUCAUAAACACAGGCCCACCGUGCUCAGAGCCCCAUUUUCCCACUGACAUUGGCCAAGAUGCAUCCUGGCUGUGUGCAGACCCCAGAGAGAACUGCCCGAUAGUGGCAACACUGGCACAGUGGCCAGCCAAGGAGGGAAAAGCAAAGCAAAGAGGACUGAAGAUAUGAAGACACAUAUCUCUACUGAGAAGAGCUCAUCAUAGAACAAGGACAAAUGGCCAGCAAGAUGCCAUGCCUGAAAAUAUUCAAACAUCAAGUCCAGCUUCCUGGUCUCACCUAUGUCAUCGGAAGUGUGUAGAUUCUAGGCUGGAGAGCUACUUUUGUUCAAUAGGUGGAAACAAAAAUUCAUUAAGCAUCCUGAAAUUAUUGCUGAAUUCAGGGAUGAGGGCAGCUUCGAUUUCUUCUCUGAACUUGGAAUUGUUUGCUGGAUUUUGCAGGCUUGACUCCUUGACUUCAGCAGUGCAGUUGUAGAAACAAGCCAGCAGCAGCAGCCACACCUAAGCUGGGUUGCGCCUUCCUGGCAGGUGUCCCUGCCAAGAUGGGAAAACCUGAGAUGCUCCCCAGUGGGUGCAAAUAUGUGGGAGAAAAUUGAAUAAAAUUUCCCCUGGGGUGCCCCCCAGGAAGCAUGCUUCCUCCUCCACUUGGUUUGGCUCUCAUUUUCAGUUCCUCUGUGUUCAGGCAAAACCUUUAUGUUGUUAAAAAUGAAAUUAGAACCGAAAGGAAGCAGGGAGCAGUUGUGGCCAAAGAUGACACUGAGAAAAGGUGGAAAUUGGUGGCAGCAUCAGGCUUUCCCUGCUGGAGUCUGCACCCCUGAAAUAAGCAGGCAGAAAGUUGGAGGAAAGCCGAGCUGCAGGCCUCUCGGUCACUGGGUCCCACAAUGGGGAUACCCGGUGCCGCGCUGAGCCCAGAGCAGAUCCAGACUCUCCUCCCGACUCCCCCACCCCUUCCUCUCCUUGAGGGGGCCUCACAGCCCCCCCACCCCCAGCACUUACCCAUGCAAUGCACAGGCCCUUCCCCAGCUCUGGAGGGAUUUAUGCCUUUUGGAGGAGCAGGUUUUAAAGCCAAAAGGGCUUUUUGGUGAUAUGCAAGAGCCCAAAGGAUGGCACCACAGC